rnacentral:tRNA from 1 species
GCCGCCGUAGCUCAGCUGGGAGAGCGCCCGAAAGCCCCAUCAUUAAUGAGGGGCUUGGCGAGGCUGAAGACCGGGUUGUCGGGGGUUCAAGUCCCCCCGGCGGCACCA